GAUUAUGGCUCAGGAUGAACGCUAGCUACAGGCUAACACAUGCAAGUCGAGGGGCAGCAUUGGAGUAGCAAUACUCAGAUGGCGACCGGCGCACGGGUGAGUAACACGUAUCCAACCUGCCGCUUACUCGGGGAUAGCCUUUCGAAAGAAAGAUUAAUACCCGAUGGUAUAAAGAGUUCGCAUGUUCUCUUUAUUAAAGAAUUUCGGUAAGCGAUGGGGAUGCGUUCCAUUAGAUAGUUGGCGGGGUAACGGCCCACCAAGUCUACGAUGGAUAGGGGUUCUGAGAGGAAGGUCCCCCACAUUGGAACUGAGACACGGUCCAAACUCCUACGGGAGGCAGCAGUGAGGAAUGUUGGUCAAUGGACGAGAGUCUGAACCAGCCAAGUAGCGUGAAGGAUGACUGCCCUAUGGGUUGUAAACUUCUUUUAUAAGGGAAUAAAGUGAGGGACGUGUCCCUUUUUGUAUGUACCUUAUGAAUAAGGAUCGGCUAACUCCGUGCCAGCAGCAGC
rnacentral:rRNA from 1 species